AGAAACCUCAGGAGAACUGUACACCCUUCAAAUCUGUGUUGAUGUGUUUUAAAGGCAUGAUAUGGAGCACAUCCACUCUCAGUAGGUUGCAGAAAGGGGCCAUAAAAUCAUAACACAUCUUUGGAAGGAAAGAAGAGUUUCCCAUCAGCCUGGCACGAGCACACAUACAGUGGCCUGCAAAGGUUUGGCUGCCUGUGUUCCAGGUCUGUCAUGAUACAGUGCAAUGUAAUCUGGGAUCAGAGUGCUGUGAGAAGAGCUGUCUGCCAAAGAGCUGGGAGAAGCCAGCUGGGGCCUCCUCAAUUCCACUGGGAGCCAUGGCACAGAGCUGCCCUUGUCCUCAGUCCUCGUUUGGGGUGGGCUGUAAGGGUGUUUGUGCCUGACUGUGGACGUGGCUGUGGCUGAUCCUGAGUUCCUGGCACAUCCCUGUGGGCUCACUGCUCUCCUGGCUGUAUGUGGUCACUGUCACCAGAGCUGCUCUGCCCUUCUUGCUUGGUCGCUGUGUCUGUGUGUCCCUUUGCCUGAGGUCCCUGCUGUCCCUGCUGCCAGCCCUGCUCACCUUUGCUCCUCAGGCUCCCCAAGCUCCUCUGCCCAGCUCCUGGCAUGGACCACAGCACCCCCGUGUGUCUGAGACUCCUGGAGAGGAUGGGCAGUGAUAUGAGAGACUUUAUCGCUACGGCAAUAAGGAAGAUGUGGCAUUAGCUUUACCUCCCUUCAUCUGCCUGCAAAGCCAAAGCGAAAUUCAGGUCUGCGGGACGAGCCCGGAUGCCGGGAGAGCAGCCGGCAGGAGGAGCUCGCCGGACACGUCGCUGGAUCAUUCCCAGGCAGUCACAGACGCAGGUUUCAAGGGCAUCGCUUUAGAUCUGCCUUCUUGGGACUUUCUUGCAGACAAACCACCAGCAGCAGAAGACAGAGGAAACUUCGUGGUAUUGCAACCGAGCAGCCCCAGAGAUUUAUUUUGAAGUUUUUUUAGACCUUUCUCAGCUUGUUUCUCCCACUAUAAUGAUACUUAAGGUAUUCAGGAAGGUAGUGAGGAUGCCUUUUAGUCCCUAGAAGUGGCCAAGUGCUUUAUUUUCCAAGAAAGCUAGUGUAAGAUUUCUUGGACAGCAUCCUCAUCACGGAGUAAAGAAUUCCAAAACAAUGUUUGUCUUAGCAUAGGAAGAUCUCCUCCUGGAGUCCUCCUGACCUCUGAGGGGACCUGCAAGCAAAAAUGUAUCAGUACCACUCUGAUUCUUGGCUUGACAAAGUUAUUCAAACAGUUCUGUCUCCUGUUAUACAGUUCACCUUUGUCUCCUGUGAGAAGCGAGCACAGAGGACAGUAGUAGCUCUUUUGCACAUCAGUGUUCUCAUUAGUUAGGUGCAAAGUGUCACUCUGCUUCUUAGGGACAAUCCUUCAGCCCUAAAUUUCAUGAUCUCUGCAUCACCUUUAAAAAUAAUUAAGGAUUUUUUUAUUUUUUUUUUAAUUGGUGAAAUCUUUACUUUUGUAAGUCUAUCCCUCAUUUAGUUACUAAAUGGGAAUUGGGUGCCUUCUGGUCCUGAAUGUUACUGUAAUAAUUAUUUUGAUUCUGAAUGUGCCAGAAACUAUUCUAAUGCAUAUCAGUAUAAAUUAAGUCAAUAGAGAUUCUUCAAAUUUAUCCUGGUGUUCAAGAGAAUGGAAUUCAUGCACUUCAA